AUUGAACGCUGGCGGCAGGCCUAACACAUGCAAGUCGAACGAGUGGCGGACGGGUGAGUAAUGUCUGGGAAACUGCCUGAUGGAGGGGGAAAACUACGGGAAACGGUAGAAAAUACCGCAUACCAUGGGAUGGGCACAGAUGGGAUUAGCUAGUAGGUGGGGUAAAGGCUCACCUAGGCGCCGAUCCCUAGCUGGUCUGAGAGGAUGACCAGCCACACUGGAACUGAGACACGGUCCAGACUCCUACGGGAGGCAGCAGUUGGGAAUAUUGCACAAUGGGCGCAAGCCUGAUGCAGCCAUGCCGCGUGUAUGAAGAAGGCCUUCGGGUUGUAAAGUACUUUCAGCGGGGAGGCGUUACCCGCAGAAGAAGCACCGGCUAACUCCGUGCCAGCAGCCGCGGUAAUAC
rnacentral:rRNA from 1 species